GGAUGUAAGCGCUAUCUGGCAGUGACAUCUGUCACCCCACUGAUUGCUAGGGUUGAUUUGGCUGAUCUGGCUGGCUAGGCAGGUGUCCCUGUCGUCCUCCCUCACCACUCCAUGUGUGUCCCUCCCAAAGCUGUGUGCUCAGUUGAAGAGGACGGCCUUCCCCAAUAGAGACUGAACUGUCUUAGGUCGAGGGUAUAUGAGUU
rnacentral:snRNA from 1 species